GUGGGGAAUCUUGCGCAAUGGGCGAAAGCCUGACGCAGCCAUGCCGCGUGAAUGAUGAAGGUCUUAGGAUUGUAAAAUUCUUUCAUCGGGGACGAUAAUGACGGUACCCGGAGAAGAAGCUCCGGCUAACUUCGUGCCAGCAGCCGCGGUAAUACGAAGGGGGCUAGCGUUGCUCGGAAUUACUGGGCGUAAAGGGCGCGUAGGCGGACAGCUUAGUCAGAGGUGAAAGCCCAGGGCUCAACCUUGGAAUUGCCUUUGAUACUGGCUGUCUUGAGUUUGGGAGAGGUGAGUGGAACUCCGAGUGUAGAGGUGAAAUUCGUAGAUAUUCGGAAGAACACCAGUGGCGAAGGCGACUCACUGGCCCAAUACUGACGCUGAGGCGCGAAAGCGUGGGGAGCAAACAGGAUUAGAAACCCGUGUAGUCC
rnacentral:rRNA from 1 species